rnacentral:rRNA from 1 species
AAAUUGAAGAGUUUGAUCAUGGCUCAGAUUGAACGCUGGCGGCAGGCCUAACACAUGCAAGUCGAACGGUAACAGGAAGCAGCUUGCUGCUUCGCUGACGAGUGGCGGACGGGUGAGUAAUGUCUGGGAAACUGCCUGAUGGAGGGGGAUAACUACUGGAAACGGUAGCUAAUACCGCAUAACGUCGCAAGACCAAAGAGGGGGACCUUCGGGCCUCUUGCCAUCGGAUGUGCCCAGAUGGGAUUAGCUUGUUGGUGGGGUAACGGCUCACCAAGGCGACGAUCCCUAGCUGGUCUGAGAGGAUGACCAGCCACACUGGAACUGAGACACGGUCCAGACUCCUACGGGAGGCAGCAGUGGGGA